ensembl:lncRNA
UGCCCAUCCAGACACUAAAUAAUAAGUUAAUAGGUUCAAGGAGCAGUUCUACAUAUACUAAGUGGAGCACAGCAAAAACCUUCAUCUGAGCUCUUCUUCACAGCUAAUACAGUGCAUUUACAGAGUGAGAAGGCUGGCCUAGUGACAUACAGAAUUAAGCCUGACAAUGGCAGAGCAGUAGUUCUCUGAGCUGCAUUUGAAGAGUGACUGGGCAGAUUUUCGUAUGGCAAAUUUUUACACCAUACCUGUUCAUUUGUAUGCCUCCCAUCUUUUAAAGGAACAUAACAACUUCUUUGCAAAUGCAGUGACUCUUUAAGAAUUUCUCUACAGAAGAGUACUCUCAUUUUUCAGUCAAUUAAUUUCAGAUUAUUUAUUACAUACAGAAAAAUAAUUAUCCCCAAAGAUAAUUAAAUGUUUCAAGACUAAGGAGCAAAGCAAAUGUAGGUUGAAAGUCAUUAUGUACCGAUACAAAAGACUUUUUGUCAGUAAUUUAAUCAUGCAGACAUCCAAAAUAAAUUCUACAGAUCCUAUCCUCAUUGUCUACAGAGACUUCUAUCUGCAUAAAUAACCUCGUUGGACUAUCGUACUCUUGGCAUUUUGGUAAGGAACAGUUUUGAGUAGAUCUAUAUUAAGGCCAUAUUUUGAUCCAAGACACACUCAUGGAAUUGUCUCACUCCCCCCUCUCUGAUGUGGAGCACUACCUGGAGAAAACGAACAGCGCUGACUUUGAAUAAUCCAGCCUGGAGUGGGGCCAGGGCUUGGGCUCCUCCUUGCCAGCUGCAGGGCCCCAGUGCAGCAAGAGCUUCCAAAGGCUAUGUUGCCUCCACAAGUGCCAGAAUGGAUCAACACACUGGCUUCAGCCAGAAGUGGACUCAAAGUAGCUGUUGUUCCUUCUCCCUAAGGAACAUUUUCAGAGGAAUGCCUUAGAGGUAAGAACUAAGGUUCCCAAAAAGGCUAACCUCACGUCAGGAAGGACUGAAGCAUACUCAUUUGCUAAAUGCUCCAUAAAGGGUGACAUUCUUCAGUUACUUUUUGGAUAAAUCCCACUCUGCUUCUGAGAGAAUAUUUAUAGAGAACAUCUCCUGAGCAUCCUGCAAGUGACUGACACAGAUACACAUGGAUUUUGUUUAUUCUCGUCUGCCUUGGUUUAAAAUUUUAUACAUGUCCCCUAGGCACGACUUUGAUGCUGAUUUUUCUAGGGAAAAAAAAUGAAUACGUAAACAAAGAAGUCAUACAUAAAUAAAAUAGUAAAGCAUAAAUCAAAGUCAGCUCCAUUUUUUUUUCUUAAAUGCCAAAUACUUUAAGAAGCAAGAUUCUGUUUCAAUGGCUGCCUUGCCUUAGUUCUUGUCUACUUCAAUUAUGGGGGCUUUUCUUUCUGCAUCAUGACCUUCUGAGGAAUUUAGUUACAUUCUAAAAUUUUAUAACUGCAAAGACAGAAAGCUAAGACCUGUGAAACAGUUUCAUAGCAUCAGCGUUUCGUCUUUUCCCUAUGUGAAAUUUAAAAUGAGAGAGAGGCCAGUUGUCUAUCUAAUGAGAUGGUCUUGUGUCCUUUGUCACCUACUAGCAUGACAAAUCCCGUUACCCAGCUUUUCCUGAGACAUUCUCAGCUAGAUCCCAGGUGGGAAGUCUCUUGCAGACUUUUGUAAUGGCCAUGUAUGUAUUUUGCCUCCCUUACUCAACUCUUUGCACUAGAUGGGUGGUAUUGGCUUCAUAGAGUUCUUGUCAAAGAGCAGCCAAAAGUACUUCCACUGUGGAAGUCCAAUCCCUGAAAUGCUGUUGAGAGCAUUGACCCCCAUAUGGAUCUCCUCAGCAAGUGCUGUAUAUGCCAGCAAGGUCUAUCUUAAUACUCAGUUUCUCCAGGAAUCCAAAAUGUGUUACUUCUGUACAGGAUUCGCGUGUUUGGUCAGUUGUUGCCCUAUCCUUUCCCCUCAAUUUGUAGCAACCAUAAAUUGUCUUUGGCUGGCUCCUGAAGUGGCAUUGCUUGCUUGUUGGCUUUCAGAUGCCAGAUUUCUGUGAAAUAAUUGGGCUCAGUAAAGAUGAGAUAUAAAAAGAUAAAAAUCAGCCCCAAUGGUCCAUUCUGUCACUUUCUUUUUUAAUUCAGACUCUGCCUAUGAAGCCCAAGCAACCCAAGCUAGGCUCAACUGUGUUGAAACCAUGUUUGUCCCAGGUGUGUCAAAUUGGUUCAGAAAGUAAGCCAUAAUCUGGGAUUACAUGUAGCUAGGAUAUUAUUUUCUGCUUUUAAAGAAUUUCUUCUUUUUUUUCUGCCUGUAUUGAUUAUUUCCUGUGUUUGGUUUCAGCUGUUCGGUAGCUAGCAUGAGACCUCAGACUGAGGAAACAUCACAAUGCACAGACUCAGCUGAAUAGCUCCCUGCCCACACAUCUUUCUAUGUAGUACUUCAAAAUAUGCAUUUCCUGCACAUGCUAUAAUUAGGCUUUUUCAUUCUCCCUCCAGUUGUUAUUAAAAUACUCAUUAUCUACUACAAAACACUUUUAUUAUGCUAUUUUUUAUAUCCCUCUUGUUACUUCAGGAAGCAAAUAAAGACAUUUUAGUGGAUGUAGUUCUAACAGGGGAAAUUCCAGCACUGCUUCACCAUGGCAAUGGGGUGCAAUCAUCAAUGAAGCAACAACUUCACUGUGGAUCACUGCAACUGCUAAAAGAUCUGAAGCUGGCUUGCAGCCACAGAUGACAGUCUGCACCUCUUUGAGCUGUGUAGGCAAAUGCUGAACUUGAGUCCAGUUCAGAAGAUCUUGAAAGGAUUAAUACCGGCCCUUGGACCUCAAGCAGGAGACAAGAGGUGAAGAAGUGAAGAGGCAGAAGAUUCUUUGACUGUCAAUAGUUUGUGAAUUGAGUAAAAAUUCCACAAAAUGUGGCUUGUCCAGAGCAGGAUAUUUGCUACUAUCUCUGAAUGAUGUCUUACUCUCAGAGAAGACACUGGAUUCUCAGUCCAAAGUUCAGCCCUUUCAAAAAGGAUAAUAAAGCAAAAGAUAAUAAAAAGAAAGAAAAACCUUUCAGAUGUAAUCUUUGACUCCUAACAGAGGGAGCUGGGAAAGGGCUUUGGGUUGAUUUCUAAUUCCAUACACUGCUUGUCUGAGUUGACACUUCCAGCUUCACACCUGAAGAAACAAAAGGAAAGAUGCAACGCCACUGUUUGCAGCUGACCUCUAGCCAACUGCUGGAGUUGCAUUCAGUACCCAAGCAGCAUGUUCCAGCCACAGCUGCAAAUGUUCUAGAAGGUUUGGAAAUUGUUUCUGAAAUGUUAAUUCAUUCAAAGUGCUUCUGAAGGGAAAAGACCUGUCAGAGAUGCUAGACCUCUCAGAAGAAUUUCCAAGGCAACAUGUUCAUGCUCAUGGAUAUCUCUGAUUAAAAUAUGUCCCUUCUUUGGUGUUAAUCUGAUCUAGAAGGUGCAAAUUAGGCUGUGAGAAGACUGAAAGGAAUAUGUUCUGGAUUUAUUUGUACAGAAGUAUAUAAAUUUUGAGUAUGAACUCAAGGCACUAAAAAGACCUUACCAUAAUCAGGUGAUGCUGGUUGCAAGCCCUAAGCAUUCCUGAAGAUCUACUCAGAAAGAAAACAGCCAUCAGAGUGCUGCCCUUGGCCUCACUGGAAGCACAGAAAUGACCCGGGGUUGAAAAGGCCAGAAGUGUCUCUGGAGGCUCUUGGAGGCAGUGCGGGGAGUGUCGGCAGCACAGCGCUCUGUGCCCCAGUGCUCCAUGGAAGCCAACAGAUGAAAGAUCUGAAGGAGAAAGAAG